GAUGAACGCUGGCGGCGUGCCUAAUACAUGCAAGUCGAGCGAACGGACGAGAAGCUUGCUUCUCUGAUGUUAGCGGCGGACGGGUGAGUAACACGUGGAUAACCUACCUAUAAGACUGGGAUAACUUCGGGAAACCGGAGCUAAUACCGGAUAAUAUUUUGAACCGCAUGGUUCAAAAGUGAAAGACGGUCUUGCUGUCACUUAUAGAUGGAUCCGCGCUGCAUUAGCUAGUUGGUAAGGUAACGGCUUACCAAGGCAACGAUGCAUAGCCGACCUGAGAGGGUGAUCGGCCACACUGGAACUGAGACACGGUCCAGACUCCUACGGGAGGCAGCAGUAGGGAAUCUUACGCAAUGGGCGAAAGCCUGACGGAGCAACGCCGCGUGAGUGAUGAAGGUCUUCGGAUCGUAAAACUCUGUUAUUAGGGAAGAACAUAUGUGUAAGUAACUGUGCACAUCUUGACGGUACCUAAUCAGAAAGCCGCGGCUAACUACGUG
rnacentral:rRNA from 1 species